rnacentral:rRNA from 1 species
UACGUAGGGUGCGAGCGUUAAUCGGAAUUACUGGGCGUAAAGCGUGCGCAGGCGGUUCGUUGUGUCCGGCGGUGAAAGCCCCGGGCUCAACCUGGGAAUGGCCGUUGAAACUGGCGAACUGGAGUGUGGCAGAGGGGGGUGGAAUUCCGCGUGUAGCAGUGAAAUGCGUAGAGAUGCGGAGGAACACCGAUGGCGAAGGCAGCCCCCUGGGCUGACACUGACGCUCAGGCACGAAAGCGUGGGGAGCAAACAGG